rfam:Campylobacter sp. RM18021, complete genome.
GGGAGUGACUUGGCUUCGACAGGAGCAGAGUGGCUACGAUGGCAUGUCGCUUUGAGCAAAGCGUAAAAAGCUCAAAAUUAAAUUUAAACGCAAACAACGUUAAUUUCGCUCCUGCUUACGCUAAAGCUGCGUAAGUUCAGUUGAGCCUUGCACUUUUUGAUACUAUCUAAAAAAGAUUGCAAGUUACCUAGAUAGUGUAGAUUUGUAUUUUGGCAUGAUAUAGGUUGAAAUUUUUGCCUUAGCUAAGAUAAGUGUUUUGGAAAGUGAGCAUGUCUUAGUGAAUUUUUCACUUUUGCUAAACAUGUAGAAGUUGUGGUUGUUUUGUUUUUGGACAGGGGUUCGAUUCCCCUCGCUUCCACCA